rnacentral:rRNA from 1 species
AACACGUGGGGAACCUGCCCCAUAGUCUGGGAUACCACUUGGAAACAGGUGCUAAUACCGGAUAAGAAAGCGGAUCGCAUGAUCAGCUUUUAAAAGGCGGCGUAAGCUGUCGCUAUGGGAUGGCCCCGCGGUGCAUUAGCUAGUUGGUAAGGUAAAGGCUUACCAAGGCGAUGAUGCAUAGCCGAGUUGAGAGACUGAUCGGCCACAUUGGGACUGAGACACGGCCCAAACUUCUACGGGAGGCAGCAGCC